AUUGAACGCUGGCGGCAGGCCUAACACAUGCAAGUCGAGCGGAUGAAGGGAGCUUGCUCCUGGAUUCAGCGGCGGACGGGUGAGUAAUGCCUAGGAAUCUGCCUGGUAGUGGGGGAUAACGUCCGGAAACGGGCGCUGAUACCGCAUACGUCCUGAGGGAGAAAGUGGGGGAUCUUCGGACCUCACGCUAUCAGAUGAGCCUAGGUCGGAUUAGCUAGUUGGUGGGGUAAAGGCCUACCAAGGCGACGAUCCGUAACUGGUCUGAGAGGAUGAUCAGUCACACUGGAACUGAGACACGGUCCAGACUCCUACGGGAGGCAGCAGUGGGGAAUAUUGGACGAUGGGCGAAAGCCUGAUCCAGCCAUGCCGCGUGUGUGAAGAAGGUCUUCGGAUUGUAAAACACUUUAAGUUGGGAGGAAGGGCAGUAAGUUAAUACCUUGCUGUUUUGACGUUACCAACAGAAUAAGCACCGGCUAACUUCGUG
rnacentral:rRNA from 1 species